rnacentral:rRNA from 1 species
UACAGGGGGGGCAAGCGUUGUUCGGAAUUACUGGGCGUAAAGGGUUCGUAGGUGGCUCACUAAGUCACACGUGAAAUCCCUCAGCUUAACUGGGGAACUGCGUGUGAAACUGGAGAGCUUGAGGGUAGGAGAGGAAUGCGGAAUUCCAGGUGUAGCGGUGAAAUGCGUAGAUAUCUGGAGGAACACCGGUGGCGAAGGCGGCAUUCUGGACUAUUUCUGACACUGAUGAACGAAAGCCAGGGGAGCAAACGGG